rnacentral:rRNA from 1 species
GUGGGGAAUAUUGGACAAUGGGGGGAACCCUGAUCCAGCCAUGCCGCGUGUGUGAAGAAGGCCUUUUGGUUGUAAAGCACUUUAAGCGAGGAGGAGGCUACCGAGAUUAAUACUCUUGGAUAGUGGACGUUACUCGCAGAAUAAGCACCGGCUAACUCUGUGCCAGCAGCCGCGGUAAUACAGAGGGUGCAAGCGUUAAUCGGAUUUACUGGGCGUAAAGCGCGCGUAGGUGGCCAAUUAAGUCAAAUGUGAAAUCCCCGAGCUUAACUUGGGAAUUGCAUUCGAUACUGGUUGGCUAGAGUAUGGGAGAGGAUGGUAGAAUUCCAGGUGUAGCGGUGAAAUGCGUAGAGAUCUGGAGGAAUACCGAUGGCGAAGGCAGCCAUCUGGACCAGCACUGACACUGAGGCACGAAAGCGUGGGGAGCAAACAGGAUUAGAUACCCUGGUAGUCC